UAGAAAAUACCUAUGUCAGUAUCAAUAAAAAUAAGAGCACUUUGAGCAGUAGCUUAAGCAUACAAAAAACAAUUUGAUCGUAUUGAACGGCUGAGCCAGCCUGAAAGACAAUACCUAUGUCACUAAUAAAAUGUAAAAUUUUAAUUUCCUAAGCUUACUCAAAAAGAAAUAUUUACAAUUGAUCAAUAAAAUUUAAUGUUAUUCUUGAUUCGAUUGUAAUGCCGUAAAUACAGAUUGUAUAAAAUUUUAUUACUUAGAUUGUUUUAAAAUAUUCAAAUAUUGUAAAAAUGCAUUUAUUGUAUUAUUUAAACUUUAGUUGAAUAGUUAUAAAAUGUUUAACACCAUUAACUUAACUAUUACGUUAAAAAAAUAAUUAUAUCAUCAAAAUAUUACAUUAUUUAGCAUUAAAUAUUUAAUUAAACGAUUAUAUUAAGCCUAAAUUAUAUUAAUCUAUCAAAUUUCUUUAAUUGACUUACCUAAGAUUAACGAUGUUUUCGAGAAAAUCCAACUUUUAUCCAGUUUACAAUAUCGCUGAUGACGAUUAAUUGCUAUUUUGCCGCCAUUUUUAUUCAUUCGCCAAUCAUAAUUAGUAUUUUCAAUUACGCGUUUUGCGCAUGAGUAGAGAAAGUUGUGUAAGCGUUUCGACCUCGAAAGUAUGAGUUCAACAAGUUAUUAUAUGGUCCGAAUGUAUUUUAUAUCGAAAACGAGGCAGGGGUGUAAAGCAGUUUACACAAAUAUCCCAUAUAAACUAUAUGGGACCAAUAAUUUACACACUUUUUACACACCGUGUGUAUCAAUUUCCGACUUUCCGGACUUUGGGGGACUUCGUUUUUAUUUAAGAUAUACAUGUUUUGAAAAGUGUAGAAUCCAUUUCUGAAGUCCAAAAAGUCGGGACCGAAACCCGGUCCACACUUUGUUGUCGGACCCCACUAAAAAGGUGUUUAUUCAUACUUCGGUCCCCAAAAGUGGGCUUUGCCAACACACACACACACACACACACACACA
rnacentral:lncRNA from 1 species